rnacentral:rRNA from 1 species
UACGUAGGGUGCAAGCGUUGUCCGGAAUUAUUGGGCGUAAAGAGCUCGUAGGCGGUUUGUCGCGUCGUUCGUGAAAACUCACAGCUUAACUGUGAGCUUGCGGUCGAUACGGGCAGGCUAGAGUUCGGUAGGGGAGACUGGAAUUCCUGGUGUAGCGGUGAAAUGCGCAGAUAUCAGGAAGAACACCCGUGGCGAAGGCGGCUCUCUGGGACGGUACUGACGCUGAGACGCGAAAGCGUGGGGAGCAAACAGG